rnacentral:ncRNA from 21 species
AACUAAAUAGGUGAUGACGUUCACCAUUAACCGAGAGAUCUAAUGACGGCUACUUUAUC